AUUGAACGCUGUCGGCAUGCUUUACACAUGCAAGUCGAACGGUAACAGGCCGCAAGGUGCUGACGAGUGGCGAACGGGUGAGUAAUGCAUCGGAACGUGCCCAGUCGUGGGGGAUAACGCAGCGAAAGUUGCGCUAAUACCGCAUACGAUCUAUGGAUGAAAGCGGGGGAACGUAAGGCCUCGCGCGAUUGGAGCGGCCGAUGUCAGAUUAGGUAGUUGGUGGGGUAAAGGCUCACCAAGACGACGAUCUGUAGCUGGUCUGAGAGGUCGACCAGCCACACUGGGGCGGAGACACGGCCCAGACUACUACGGGAGGAAGAAGGGGGGAAUUUUGGACAAGGGGCGGAAGCCUGAUCCAGCAAUGCCGCGUGCAGGAAGAGGGCCAUCGGGUUGUAAACUGCUUUUGUACGGAACGAAACGGUCCUGGUUAAUACCCGGGGCUAAUGACGGUACCGUAAGAAUAAGCACCGGCUAACUACGUGCCAGCCGCCGCAGUAA
rnacentral:rRNA from 1 species